rnacentral:rRNA from 1 species
AACGUUGGCGGUGUGCCUUAUGCAUGCAAGUCGAACGGGGAAAUGACUUUCGGGUUAUAUUCUAGUGGCGAACGGCUGAGUAACGCGUAAGUAACCUACCCUCGAGUGGGGAAUAACUUGUCGAAAGGCAAGCUAAUACCGCAUGAAGUAACCAAAAGGGAUGCUUGGUUACCAAAGUCUUCGGAUGCUCGAAGAGGGGCUUGCGUCUGAUUAGCUAGUUGGUGAGGUAAUGGCUCACCAAGGCGAUGAUCAGUAGCUGGUCUGAGAGGAUGGUCAGCCAGAUAGGGACUGAGACACGGCCCUGACUCCUACGGGAGGCAGCAGCAGGGAAUAUUGGACAAUGGGCGAAAGCCUGAUCCAGCGACACCGCGUGAGGGAAGAAGGCCUUCGGGUUGUAAACCUCUUUUCUCUGGGAAGAAAUCUGACGGUACCAGAGGAAUAAGCCUCGGCUAAUUACGUGCCAGCAGCCGCGGUAAAACGUGGGAGGCGAACGUUAUCCGGAUUUACUGGGCG